GGGGCCGUGGUCCAGCCUGGAGUGGACGCCGGCCUGGGGCGCCGGAGGUCCCCCGUUCAAAUCGGGGCGGCCCCA
rnacentral:tRNA from 1 species